rnacentral:rRNA from 1 species
CGGGCAGACUAGAGUGCGGUAGGGGAGAUUGGAAUUCCUGGUGUAGCGGUGGAAUGCGCAGAUAUCAGGAGGAACACCGAUGGCGAAGGCAGAUCUCUGGGCCGUUACUGACGCUGAGGAGCGAAAGGGUGGGGAGCAAACAGGCUUAGAUACCCUGGUAGUCCACCCCGUAAACGUUGGGAACUAGAUGUGGGGACCAUUCCACGGUCUCCGUGUCGCAGCUAACGCAUUAAGUUCCCCGCCUGGGGAGUACGGCCGCAAGGCUAAAACUCAAAGGAAUUGACGGGGGCCCGCACAAGCGGCGGAGCAUGCGGAUUAAUUCGAUGCAACGCGAAGAACCUUACCAAGGCUUGACAUAUACCGGAAACGGCGAGAGAUCGUCGCCCCGCAAGGUCGGUAUACAGGUGGUGCAUGGUUGUCGUCAGCUCGUGUCGUGAGAUGUUGGGUUAAGUCCCGCAACGAGCGCAACCCUCGUUCUAUGUUGCCAGCACGUAAUGGUGGGAACUCAUGGGAUACUGCCGGGGUCAACUCGGAGGAAGGUGGGGACGACGUCAAAUCAUCAUGCCCCUUAUGUCUUGGGCUUCACGCAUGCUACAAUGGCCAGUACAAAGGGCUGCAAUACCGUAAGGUGGAGCGAAUCCCAAAAAGCUGGUCCCAGUUCGGAUUGAGGUCUGCAACUCGACCUCAUGAAGUCGGAGUCGCUAGUAAUCGCAGAUCAGCAACGCUGCGGUGAAUACGUUCCCGGGCCUUGUACACACCGCCCGUCAAGUCAUGAAAGUCGGUAACACCCGACGCCGGUG